AGAAUCAACGCUGGCGGCGUGCCUAACACAUGCAAGUCGAACGAGAAAGUGGAGCAAUCCAUGAGUAAAGUGGCGCACGGGUGAGUAACACGUGACUAACCUACCCUUGAGUGGGGGAUAACCUAGGGAAACCUGGGCUAAUACCGCAUAAUACCUUCGGGUCAAAGGAGCAAUUCGCUUAAGGAGGGGUCGCGGCCGAUUAGUUAGUUGGCGGGGUAAUGGCCCACCAAGACCGUGAUCGGUAU
rnacentral:rRNA from 1 species